rnacentral:rRNA from 1 species
UACGUAGGGUGCAAGCGUUGUCCGGAAUUAUUGGGCGUAAAGAGCUCGUAGGCGGUUUGUCGCGUCUGCUGUGAAAACUCAGGGCUUAACCCUGAGCCUGCAGUGGGUACGGGCAGACUAGAGUGUGGUAGGGGAGAUCGGAAUUCCGUGGUGUAGCGGUGGAAUGCGCAGGAUAUCAGGAGGAACACCGGUGGCGAAGGCGGGU